rnacentral:rRNA from 1 species
GUCGAGGGGCAGCAUGGUCUUAGCUUGCUAAGGCCGAUGGCGACCGGCGCACGGGUGAGUAACACGUAUCCAACCUGCCGUCUACUCUUGGACAGCCUUCUGAAAGGAAGAUUAAUACAAGAUGGCAUCAUGAGUCCGCAUGUUCACAUGAUUAAAGGUAUUCCGGUAGACGAUGGGGAUGCGUUCCAUUAGAUAGUAGGCGGGGUAACGGCCCACCUAGUCUUCGAUGGAUAGGGGUUCUGAGAGGAAGGUCCCCCACAUUGGAACUGAGACACGGUCCAAACUCCUACGGGAGGCAGCAGUGAGGAAUAUUGGUCAAUGGGCGAGAGCCUGAACCAGCCAAGUAGCGUGAAGGAUGGCUGCCCUAUGGGUUGUAAACUUCUUUUAUAAAGGAAUAAAGUCGGGUAUGCAUACCCGUUUGCAUGUACUUUAUGAAUAAGGAUCGGCUAACUCCGUGCCAGCAGCCGCGGUAAUACGGAGGAUCCGAGCGUUAUCCGGAUUUAUUGGGUUUAAAGGGAGCGUAGAUGGAUGUUUAAGUCAGUUGUGAAAGUUUGCGGCUCAACCGUAAAAUUGCAGUUGAUACUGGAUAUCUUGAGUGCAGUUGAGGCAGGCGGAAUUCGUGGUGUAGCGGUGAAAUGCUUAGAUAUCACGAAAGAAUCCGAUUGCGAAGGC